GAGCCCAAGAUUGAAAGCUGGCGUCUUCGGCGUCCGCAUUGUAAUCUCAAGAAGUGUUUUCCGCUUCGGACCAAGCCUAAGUCCCCUGGAAAGGGGCAUCAUAGAGGGUGAUAAUCCCGUACAUGGCUUGGAGCGCCCGAGGCUUUGUGAUACGCUUUCUAAGAGUCGAGUUGUUUGGGAAUGCAGCUCAAAAUGGGUGGUAAAUGCCAUCUAAGGCUAAAUAUUGGGGAGAGACCGAUAGCGAACAAGUACAGUGAUGGAAAGAUGAAAAGAACUUUGAAAAGAGAGUUAAACAGUACGUGAAAUUGCCAAAAGGGAAGGGUAGGAGGUCAGAGAUGCGGCCUGGGAUUCAGCCUUGCUUUUGCUUGGUGUUUUUCCCAGAUUGCAGGCCAACGUCGGUUUUGGGCACUGGAGAAGGGUAGGAGGAACGUGGCACCCCUCGGGGUGUGUUAUAGCCUCCUACUGGAUACAGCGACCGAGACCGAGGACAGCAGCGUACUCGCAAGAGCGGGCCUUCGGGCACCUUUACGCUUAGGGCGUUGGCAUAAUGGCCCUCUACCACCCGUCUUGAAACACGGACCA
rnacentral:rRNA from 1 species